rnacentral:rRNA from 1 species
GAUGAACGCUGGCGGUAUGCUUAACACAUGCAAGUCGAACGGAGUAGUAAUACUUAGUGGCGGACGGGUGAGUAACGCGUAAGGAUCUGCCUACAGGACGGGGACAACAGAGGGAAACUUCUGCUAAAACCCGAUGUGCCGGAAGGUGAAAUAUUUAUAGCCUGUAGAUGAGCUUGCGUCUGAUUAGCUAGUUGGAGUGGUAACGGCACACCAAGGCGACAAUCAGUAACUGGUCUGAGAGGAUGACCAGUCACACUGGGACUGAGACACGGCCCAGACUCCUACGGGAGGCAGCAGUGGGGAAUUUUCCGCAAUGGGCGAAAGCCUGACGGAGCAAUACCGCGUGAGGGAGGAAGGCUCUUGGGUUGUAAACCUCUUUUCUUAGGGAAGAACAAAAUGACGGUACCUAAGGAAUAAGCAUCGGCUAACUCCGUGCCAGCAGCCGCGGUAAUACGGAGGAUGCAAGCGUUAUCCGGAAUGAUUGGGCGUAAAGCGUCCGCAGGUGGUUUUGUAAGUCUAUUGUUAAAGCGUCUGGCUCAACCAGAUAAUGGCGGUGGAAACUACAAGACUAGAGUCCGUUCGGGGCAGAGGGAAUUCCUGGUGUAGCGGUGAAAUGCGUAGAGAUCAGGAAGAACACCGGUGGCGAAAGCGCUCUGCUAGGCCGGAACUGACACUGAGGGACGAAAGCUAGGGGAGCGAAUGGGAUUAGAUACCCCAGUAGUCCUAGCCGUAAACGAUGGAUACUAGGCGUGGC